rnacentral:rRNA from 1 species
GAUGAACGCUGGCGGCGUGCCUAAUACAUGCAAGUCGAGCGAACAGACGAGGAGCUUGCUCCUCUGACGUUAGCGGCGGACGGGUGAGUAACACGUGGAUAACCUACCUAUAAGACUGGGAUAACUUCGGGAAACCGGAGCUAAUACCGGAUAAUAUAUUGAACCGCAUGGUUCAAUAGUGAAAGACGGUUUUGCUGUCACUUAUAGAUGGAUCCGCGCCGCAUUAGCUAGUUGGUAAGGUAACGGCUUACCAAGGCAACGAUGCGUAGCCGACCUGAGAGGGUGAUCAGCCACACUGGAACUGAGACACGGUCCAGACUCCUACGGGAGGCAGCAGUAGGGAAUCUUCCGCAAUGGGCGAAAGCUUGACGGAGCAACGCCGCGUGAGUGAUGAAGGUCUUCGGAUCGUAAAACUCUUUUAUUAGGGAAGAACAAAUGUGUAAGUAACUAUGCACGUCUUGACGGUACCUAAUCAGAAAGCCACGGCUAACUACGUG